AUACGGAGGAUGCGAGCGUUAUCCGGAUUUAUUGGGUUUAAAGGGUGCGUAGGUGGUAGAUUAAGUCAGCUGUGAAAGUUUGGGGCUCAACCUUAAAAUUGCAGUUGAUACUGGUUUCCUUGAGUACGGUACAGGUGGGCGGAAUUCGUGGUGUAGCGGUGAAAUGCUUAGAUAUCACGAAGAACUCCGAUCGCGAAGGCAGCUCACCGGGCCGGAACUGACACUGAUGCUCGAAAGUGCGGGUAUCAAACAGGAUUAGAUACCCUGGUAGUCCGCACAGUAAACGAUGAAUACUCGCUGUUUGCGAUACACGGUAAGCGGCCAAGCGAAAGCGUUAAGUAUUCCACCUGGGGAGUACGCCGGCAACGGUGAAACUCAAAGGAAUUGGCGGGG
rnacentral:rRNA from 1 species